rnacentral:tRNA from 1 species
GCUCAGGUGGCGGAAUUGGUAGACGCGCUAGGUUCAGGGUCUAGUGGGUUCACACCCGUGAGAGUUCGAGUCUCUCUCUGAGCA